GACGAACGCUGGCGGCGUGCUUAACACAUGCAAGUCGAACGGAAAGGCCCUGCUUUUGUGGGAUGCUCGAGUGGCGAACGGGUGAGUAACACGUGAGUAACCUGCCCUUGACUUUGGGAUAACUUCAGGAAACUGGGGCUAAUACCGGAUAGGAUCUCCUGCUGCAUGGUGGGGGUUGGAAAGUUUCGGCGGUUGGGGAUUGACUCGCGGCUUAUCAGCUUGUUGGUGGGGUAGUGGCUUACCAAGGCUUUGACGGGUAGCCGGCCUGAGAGGGUGACCGGCCACAUUGGGACUGAGAUACGGCCCAGACUCCUACGGGAGGCAGCAGUGGGGAAUAUUGCACAAUGGGCGGAAGCCUGAUGCAGCAACGCCGCGUGCGGGAUGACGGCCUUCGGGUUGUAAACCGCUUUCGCCUGUGACGAAGCGUGAGUGACGGUAAUGGGUAAAGAAGCACCGGCUAACUACGUG
rnacentral:rRNA from 1 species